rnacentral:rRNA from 1 species
GACGAACGCGGGCGGCGUGCUUAACACAUGCAAGUCGAACGAAAAGAGGGAAAGAGCUUGCUCUUUCCGGAAUUGAGUGGCAAACGGGUGAGUAACACGUAAACAACCUGCCUUCAGGAUGGGGACAACAGACGGAAACGACUGCUAAUACCGAAUAAGUUCCAAGGGCCGCAUGGCCCAUGGAAGAAAAGGUGGCCUCUACCUGUAAGCUAUCGCCUGAAGAGGGGUUUGCGUCUGAUUAGCUGGUUGGAGGGGUAACGGCCCACCAAGGCGACGAUCAGUAGCCGGUCUGAGAGGAUGAACGGCCACACUGGAACUGAGACACGGUCCAGACUCCUACGGGAGGCAGCAGUGGGGAAUCUUCCGCAAUGGGCGAAAGCCUGACGGAGCAACGCCGCGUGAGUGAUGACGGCCUUCGGGUUGUAAAACUCUGUGAUCCGGGACGAAAAGGCAGAGUGCGAAGAACAAACUGCAUUGACGGUACCGGAAAAGCAAGCCACGGCUAACUACGUG